GAAAAGAACUUUGAAGAGAGAGUUCAAGAGUGCGUGAAACCCUCCAGAGGUAAACGGUUGGAAUCAGGCCGUGGCUUCUGGGUUUUCGCUGGGGCAGCUGUCUGCUGAUCAGCUUUGGAGAAUGGAGCGCUUUCGGGUGCUUGGUCUCUGGGACUGAUCAAAUCGCAGGCGUUGUCACUAGUCUUCUCCCAGAUCGCUGCCGCAGCCGGUUGGGGUUGAAAAUUCCCUCUGGUUACUCGCAGGGAGCUGUGCCUUCAACGUUUCGGCGUUGUGUGGUGCAACCUGUUGGGGAUUCGCUGGGGGAAACCCGACCGCAGUUGACAGACUGAUAGGGCGUCGGCACUUGGUGCGGGCGAACUGGUGCGCGACGGGCCGAUCCGGCAGGGUGUUUGCCGCAGUGCAGCUCUCCGGGUUGGUUCGUGUCGGCGCUUGCCAGGUUCUCGCCUCCAGGCGUUCCUAUGCUUUGCGGCAUCUGUUGCCUCUGUUCCUACCGACCCGUCUUGAAACACGGACCAAGGAGUCUAACUUGUAUGCGAGUGAUCGAGUUAUUUUCAAAACUCGAACGCAAAAUGAAUGUGAAGGUUCUCGUACGAGAGCUGACGGAGGAUCCCCGGUGUAAGCCCUCCUCGGGGGGAAGGCCGGGGCGAACUCCGGGGGCAUCGAAACU
rnacentral:rRNA from 1 species